AACGCACGAGACCUGCGGACCUGCGGAAGGAUCAUUACCGAGUGCGGGCCCUCGCGGCCCAACCUCCCACCCUUGUCUCUAUACACCUGUUGCUUUGGCGGGCCCACCGGGGCCACCUGGUCGCCGGGGGACGUCCGUCCCCGGGCCCGUGCCCGCCGAAGCGCUCUGUGAACCCUGAUGAAGAUGGGCUGUCUGAGUACUAUGAAAAUUGUCAAAACUUUCAGCAACGGAUCUCUAGAU
rnacentral:misc_RNA from 1 species